rnacentral:lncRNA from 1 species
UGGCAAUCUUCCUAAUCAUAAAGUGAUUUUAUUUUAAGAUGUUAAAGUUGGUUAAAUGGAGGAGACACUGCUAUUGAAAGAAACAAAUAAAUUAAAUGUAGUCUUUGUUAAAUUUUCUUAUUAAGAUUACAUAUUUUAACAAAGAUAAGUGUGACAGUAAAAAUAUUUGCUUUUACAUAGGCAGAUAGAAAUACUCUCCACAUUUCUUGAGAGAAAUUCUGAAAGUGAAAGGACAGAUUGUUAGAUCUAACCAAAAGAUUAUGAGGAGAUUAAUCAUCUACCAAGGACUGUGAGUUUCAUGGAGUAUGUGUCACAGGGGAUAACUGGAAUCCCAAAAUGCAUCCAUACUUUAUGUAGAAUUCAUAUCAAUGGAAAAAAUCAGCUGAGAAGACUGAAAAGGAAGAGAUGCCGUUAUUUUUGCUUUUAAACAGGCUCUUGCUGCUGGAGCUCCUUGCCCAUUGGCUCUUGGACCAGGUACCACCA